rnacentral:rRNA from 1 species
AUUGAACGCUGGCGGCAGGCCUAACACAUGCAAGUCGAGCGGUAGAGAGGUGCUUGCAUCUCUUGAGAGCGGCGGACGGGUGAGUAAUGCCUAGGAAUCUGCCUGGUGGUGGGGGAUAACGUUCGGAAACGGACGCUAAUACCGCAUACGUCCUACGGGAGAAAGCGGGGGGAUCUUCGGACCUCGCGCCAUUAGAUGAGCCUAGGUCGGAUUAGCUAGUUGGUGAGGUAAUGGCUCACCAAGGCGACGAUCCGUAACUGGUCUGAGAGGAUGAUCAGUCACACUAGAACUGAGACACGGUCCAGACUCCUACGGGAGGCAGCAGUGGGGAAUAUUGGACAAUGGGCGAAAGCCUGAUCCAGCCAUGCCGCGUGUGUGAAGAAGGUCUUCGGAUUGUAAAGCACUUUAAGUUGGGAGGAAGGGUAGGUAACCUAAUACGUUGCUACUUUGACGUUACCGACAGAAUAAGCACCGGCUAACUUCGUGCCAGCA